UCAUCCCGAACGCCGUCUAAAAGUACGCGUUCCGGGCAGAAACGCAUCCAGGCCUUGCAAGCGCAACCGCACACCCGAUCCCUCCCAUCCCCCGGUUAGCAAACAUUCCCGAAACCGAGCGCUUGUGCAACACACAGAGGCGACCAGCAAAGUCCGAAACCGAUUUGUUUGGUGGUGGUGGUGGUGUGCGGUUAGUGUGUUAGUUGUGUGCGAAGGAAGUGUCUGAGCGGUGUAUGUCGGCACAGCUACAAUAAACCUCUUUUUACGGCGAAACACGGCCCUUGUACGAUUCAUGCGAGCAGUCGAGCGACAUAACGCGUCCGAGCAGUAAAACUUCGCUUGCUUGCAUUCUUUUUUGCGCGGCGCUGCUAGGCUCUAGGUUAGGAAGUGCGAAAUUAUUGGAAAAAGCAAAAGAGGAGACGCCGCGAAGAAGGAAAAAACACUCGCCGUGCAGGGAGAGCCGCUGGACCGUUUGCAGGGUUGCUGUCUUUCUUUCUGCCCUAGCGCGCGCCUCCUCCUCCCUCCCCCCCGAGCGGUGGAGCGGCUGCACUGACAAUGGCGUUCAAUCAGAAGAAUCCGCCAUGGCAGCGGAACACUGGGCAUCAGGCGAUGGCCAGCAUGCAGACGAUUGUUAGCUUCCCGCAGGCGCAGCCCGUUUACAAUCCCGGCCUCGCCGGACUGCAGCAGCAGCAGCAGCAGCAGGUACAGCAGCAGGCGCAGCAGCAGGUACAGCAGCAGGUACAGCAGCAGCAGCAGCAAAGCAUUUCGAUGCUGCCCCAGAUAGGGCUGCAGCAGCCGGCCCUCUACUCACCCACGGUGCAGUAUCCGGCCUCCCGGCCGAUGAACGCGAUCGGCUUCCAGGGCCAGCCGCAGCAGGCGCCCCCGACGCCCCAGCAGCAGCAGCAACAGCAGCAGCAGCAGGUACAGCAGGUCAGCCAGGGCUCGGGCAAGUUCAACCCGAACCAGCGCGCGUUCAGCGGGACCGGGCUGGUGACGAAGCUGCAGAACGACUACGGCAUCAUCGACGAUCAGGUGUUCUUCCACACCAACACCUGCGUGAAGGGCAUCCUGCCGAAGCUGGGCGACCGGGUGCUGGUCGACGCGGCCUACAACACCAACAUGCCGUUCAAGUGGAACGCCUCGCGCGUACAGGUCCUGCAGACCGGAGGCGGCGGCGGCGGCGGCGGCGGUGGUGGCGGUGGGGGUCACAACUCCCCGUCCGUACCGCACAGCAACUCGUCGGGCGGGCGCACGCACACCAGUGCGUAUGGUGGAGGCGGUGGUGGAGGUGGUGGUGGCGGUGGAGGCGGUUCGCAGAACAAUUCGUCCGAUUCGCGCUCGAACGUGCGCAAUCGGUACAAUGCGCCGUCGUCGCGCAAGUCACCGGACCGGAGCAUGCACCGGUCGUCCAAUUCGCGCACCAAGGAUGAGUACGAUGACGUUGAGCGCAGGCGGAAGCAGCAGCGGGACGAUCGCGACUCGGACCGCAGCUCGUACCGGGACAAGCAGCGGGCCCGUUCGCCGGAACGGCCGCGCGAGAGGGAGCGCAGCCCGGUGAAGAAACACUCGCCCAAACGGGCCCGGCUGCGCUCGGUGCCGCCGUACAUGGUGCAGGUUCCGAAGCAGCUGCUGCCGAUCAAAAGCGUCAGCAUACUGGAGCUGCGCGCCCGCUACCCGAAGCUGUACAUCCCGUCGGACUUCAUACUGGCGGAGGUCGGGUGGCCGAAAUCGUUCCCGCCCAGCUCGCCGCUCCCGCUGCAGACCGGCUGCCACUUUCACGUGUUCAACAAGGAGGUGGAGCGGCCGCUGCCGCUCGAGAAGACCGUCCUCGAUCCGGCCGACGCCGACUACCUGUACACGGUGAAGGUGAUGCUGAUGAGCACGCCGGACAUGCUCGAGAUCUAUCGCAACUGCUUCUACCGCAACGAGAAGGAGCGGCGGGACGACGGCCGCAGCUAUCUGCAUCCGACGCGCAUGAUCAACUUCCUGGUCGGGACGCGCGGCAAGAACGAGCUGAUGGCGGUCGGUGGCCCCUGGUCACCGUCGCUCGACGGGGCCCACCCGGACACCGACCCGAAGGUGCUGAUGCGGACCGCCAUCCGCACGUGCAAGGCGCUCACCGGGAUCGACCUUUCCGCCUGCUCCCUCUGGUACCGUUUCGUGGAUAUCUAUUACCGUCGCACUGAAUCCUACCAUAAGGGUCGUUUGAUUCCGCCACGCGUUGAAACGGUGGUCGUAUUUCUGCCCCGUAUGAGCGCCUGCAUACCGACGGAAGGCCAGUGGGAAAAGACACAGCAGACUUACCAGCUUCAGUUGGAGCGCAUUCUUAGCAGUAGCAACUCUAGCGGCGACGACGCCAACGGGGGCGGCGCCAGUCUGCAGGAGGUUCUUCCGGCGGUGGAAGACGCGGCACCGAAUUCUAGCGGCACGGGUGACGACACGGCAGCAGCAGCAGCAGCAGCAACACCAGCAGCAGCAGCAGCAGCAGCAGCAGCAGGUGUCAACUCAUCUGCAGCACCAUCAGAUCAGCAGCAGCAGGGCCAACAGUCGGCCGACGGUGAUACGGCGGUCGUUUCUGCGGCGGAGUCGGCGUCGUCCGAUGGAGUCGCCGCAACAGAGGCAGCGACAGCAGCAGCAGCAGCAGCAGGUGGUGACGGAGGCGACGAUUCUGCCGCAGCAGCAGUAUCGGCGAAGGAGAGCGGCGAUGGCGGCGAUGGCGGCAGCACCAACAGUAGCGGCACAAUAAUGCAGCAGGCCGCCAUGACCGAACCGGACACCGAGACGCUGCUGAUGGAAUACAAAAAAAUGAAGGUGGCCGAACUGAAGACGGAACUCAUCAACCGCAACCUGCCGACCGAUGGCAUUAAGGCGGUCCUGCUAGCCCGCCUGUCCGAGGCGAUCAUCGGCGAGAAGCAAGCGCAGCUCGCACAGCAGGCACAGCAAGUGGAGGUGAAAAUGGAGGUUGCCGAAACCGAACCAGCCGUGGCCACCGGUACCGAGGAGGCGCUAAAAACGGAACCAGCAGAAGCAGCAGCAGCAGAGGACAGCAAGCCACAGACAGAUGUGGAGAUGGCCGAUGUGGCCGACGCUCCCAAGAAGGAGUCGGAUGGCAAGCCGCUGAACGAAACGCCGGACGAAACGAAACCAGCCCCCGGUGAAGGUGGGAUUGAAGGUGGUGACCAGGAGCCGGCGGCGGCUAAACCGGAGCCAACGGCCGCCGUGCCGCCGCGCAAAAAGGAACCCCAGCCAGUGAAGCUGACCGAGAAGGAGCGGCAAAACCUCGAGCGCUGGUACACGAUGCCGAAGGAGCCGCACGUGCUGGUGCACCCGUCGCGCACCGCCAAGUCGGGCAAGUUCGAGUGCAGUGUGGUGUCGCUGUCGGUGCUGCUCGACUACCGGCCGGAGGACACGAAGGAGCACUCGUUCGAGGUGGCCCUCUUCGCUGAGCUGUUCAACGACAUGUUGGCGCGCGAUUUCGGCUUCAAAAUCUACGGCGAGCUGGCCCGGCUGGCCCGAAAGGCGAACGAGACGGCGGCGGCUGCGGCGGAGACGGCGAAAAAGGACGGUACCGCUGCUGCUGCAGGGGCAGCAGAUGGCAAGUCGGGCCGCUCUGAGCAGGGCGGCGAGACGAGCAAUGGCGAGGACAGCAAGGCGAGCACGGAGAAGGGCAAGGACGAGAAGGAGCAGAACGAUCGGAAGCGGCGCCGGCGCAGCGUGGAGGACAACCAUCGCUCGAAGCCAGAGCCGGAACCGGCCCGCUUCCAUACGGUGCUGCCGGAGCUGCUGCUCGCGUUCGCGUACUUCGACAUCACGCAGUGCGGGUACAUCUUCGAGAAGGAUCUGCUGGAGCUGAUCUACAGCCUCGGGCUGAACCUGUCCCGAUCGCAGAUACGCAAAACGGUCGGGGACGUGGCCGCUGCCCGCCACACGCUCUACUACCGCCAGCUGACCGACAAGGCGCUGGAUGUGGCCGCCGCGGACAGCAAAGCACCCAAGAAGGGCGACGGGGGCGAGGUACCACCGUCGGUCGAUCUGUCCGCCGAUUCGCUAACGGGCGGCGAGACGGCAGCGGCCGAGCUGACCGAGCAGCAGGCGCUGGAGCUGGCCCGCGGCAACACCGACUACAUGGGGCAGCUGCACGCGAGCGUGCUGCAGAUCGCGAACGGUGGCAGCGAGCAGCAGCAGCAGGACGAGCCGGCCGCCAAGAAGGUGAAGAUGGAAACGGCGGCGAACGAGCUGCCCACAACCGCAGACGGUUUGGUAGAGUACAAAGGCACAAUCGUGGACGUCGGCAAGUGUCUGGAGCAGGCGAAGCUUACCGAGCAGGCCCGCGAGCGGGCCGAAAAGUCGCUCGAGCUGGUGCGCAAUCUGAACGACGAGCUGACGGGCACCAACGCCCGCUCCACGCAGUACAUCAGCGAGCUGGUCGCCGAUCUGAAGAGCGCCAAGAAGAAGCUGAUCGACAACGAGCAAACGAUUCGUGACAUGGCGCGCAAAAACUCGGAGUAUGUUUCCAUCAUCACGCACGUGUACGACCGCGUGCGCCCGAUAGUGAACGUGCCCGAUCGCAAGCGCUCCACAUCCACCGUCUCGUCGUCCCAUCGCCACGAAAGCUCGAAGGAAAAGUCAGCGUCCUCGCUGUCGAAGGAAAAGGAGAAGGAAAGCGCCGAUACGAAGGACGCGAAAAAGGCGGACAAACCGGUGGCCGAGGUGGCGAGCAAGGAGAAACCGGCCAGUGCCGCACCGGCCACCGCCGACAAGCCCGAGAAGGAAGCAGCCGCCGACCCGUCGUCGUCCACCGCCGCCAAGGAAGCUGGGAACGAGACGGAGCAGCAGACGGAGGGCGGCAGCAAGGCCGCGACAGCCGCAGCGAACAGUCAGGACCAGGAAUAGUUUUUUUAUCCCCUUUCCUAUUGACUUGACGGAUUUUAUGUUAGUUUGCUUCAUAUUAUUUUCCACUCACAACGCGUAACCCAUUCAACAGAAUCAAUGCUCCCCCCACCCCACAAGCGACAGGCCUUUACCAUAAUGGGGUCAUACAGUGACGAAACAAAAAAUCCCCGCGGGGAUGUGUUGGGUGGAGGGGGGGGAGUGCCUCCUCGUUACAGUUGAGGGAGAAUGCGUAUGUAAAAAAAAGGAAACAAAAGUUUCCUAUAUUUUUUAGUUUAUAUAUUUUUUCCAACUCCGUUUCGCUGCGGACAUUUAUAACUAUUAACAAAAUUAUUAACAAACUAUUAUUAGAACUGAUAGGGCACGUACAGAGAGAAAGAGAAAGAGAGAGAGAGAGAGAGAGAGAGAGAGAGAGAGAGAGAGAGAGAGAGAGAGAGAGAGAGAGAGAGAGACAGAGAGAGAGAGAGAGAGAGAGAGAGAGAGAGAGAGAGAGAGAGAGAGAGAGAGAGAGAGAGAAAGAGGGAGAAGAGGGAAAGGCCACAUUCGCUCAUCGAGGCUUUUUGCAUACGACAAAACGAACCGUGAUAGAAGCGCGCGCGCACACACCCACACCCUCACACAUACACACACACAAUACACAUUUUUGUACGAACGGUUUUUAGUGUAGGUACUUUUUUGGAGAAAUACAAGCGCGCUGUUGUUUUCAGCACCAAUCCCAAUUUAACAAAAAAAAAACAAAA